CAACAAAAAAAAAAUGCAACACAUAAAGUCAUUAAGCCUCACAAAUCAAAGAGUCCAACUUUAGUUCUCAACCUUAGUUAGAUGUCACUUGUCAAGAUGCAUACAUUGCAUAUAUUGACUGUGCAUGAACCUGAGAUGGAGCGAAUGCCAUUUACUAAUUAUGUGAAUUCUAAGAGUACAUUUCUUGACAACCUAAGAUUAUAAAUGCCAACCAAAGAAACCAUCAGUACUCUCUGAUUCUGGAGAACACAGCUGUAACCACCACAAUUUCUAAUCACCCUGUGUUCAAAGGUUUUCUACAUACACUUUUCAGUAGGUCAGUUUCCACAAAUUCUCUAAGCAACCAAACAAGACAUCAAAGAAGUGAUUCCAAAUCUCUCAUAAAUUAACAUACAGUUAAAUCAAUCAGCAAAGAAAAUAUAUUGUUGUUUGUUUUGGAUAAAAGAUGAGGUUUAUACAAAAGAAAGAUAAGGCACCUUCCAGAAGGUGGAGAGAACAAGAGACUAGAAGCUAACUAAACUCAGCAACACUGGAGCUUUCCAGUCUCCUUGGAUAUCAGUUAGUGACUCCCUUAAAGAGUCUAUGAGCAGAAGAGUGUAAUGAAGCUAAAAGAACUAUUCACCAUGCAAGAUCUGCUCCAAAAUUAGUGGUCGCUAAAGAUUGCAUCCCACUCCUGCCAUAUAACACACCCCGCAGACAAAUAGCAUGAUUGCAAAGGAUCUUGCUGUCAUUGUUCUUAGCAAACCCUUCCACAAACAUCAAGAAGAAAUGUCAUCCAUUGAGCCUGAAACUACCCGUAGUCUCCUACAAAUCCCAAAGAAACUACCUCACCUAUCCCCUAUGAAUGAAAAAGAAGAAGUGGCUAACAGUCUCCCCACCACCAUCACCCAUAACACAUAUAUCAGGAGAAAGAGUAACAGGGGGCGCUCUUAGCUGGCCUUAAAUCAUUAGUUUUAAUUUUGUUGAGAAAACCUCUCCAGAUAAAAGCUUGAAUCUGAGAUGGAAACUCAGCUUUCCACAAAUAAUGACCAAGAGGAAACAAGUAGGAGGUGAAGGCCUGGCAGGAUUACAAAAAAGCGAGCUACAAGAAAAUUUACCCCUCUAAAGUCCAGAAUCUAAUAUAAGACCCGAGGGAGAAGAAAAAAGAAUUAAGAAUAUGAACAGAAAACAGCAAGUUCCAAUAACAAAAUCAGUCUCCCAAGAAAAGAUAGAAAUACAGGCAUUGCGCAAGAUAUGAAGUCUGUAAAAUUGAGGGAAAGAAACACAAUAGAAGAGAAAUGUGUUGCUAGUAGAAUGAUCUUCGACAUCUGUUGAUCCACAAAGCAAAAAAAAAAAAAAAAAAACAGAAUUAUCUGUUCAUGGAACACCAACCAAGGAAGCUCAUCCUAAUAUUAAAUGGCUAAUUUUGAACCACAGCAAAACCAUGUCUGUUUUCCUUUCCAAUUUUCAUUCACUAUCAAAACAUUUGGGUACAAGAUGAACUAAAACUGAAGAGAUGAGGAGAGAGAUAUCAAGCCUUGACAGUCAAAACACACACACACACACACACACACACAGAGUCAGGUCUUAAGAGAGUUGAAGAGAAGUUAAGCAACAGAGAAUCUGGGAAAAAAUU